AAGGAAACUGGGCGGACCUUAUACAAACAUUGAGAGGCGAGGAUUUCGUGGAGUUGGAUGAGGCCUUCGGUGAGGGAGGCCUUUGGUUCUUGGUCUCUUAGUGGGCGUGGUCUGCUGGUAGCAAGUAGGUCUGGGUCUGAGUGGGCGGAGCCAUUAUGGGGCGGAGCCUGAUACAGAAAUAUUAGCCUGCUCACUUUUGCUUGGUUAGCAUGGGGCAUCGCACUCUGUCCUCCGUCCCGGCCCUCUGGGCCUCCAUCCCAUGUCCACGCUCCGAGCUGCGCCUGGACUUGGUUCUAGCUUCUGGACAAUCCUUCCGGUGGAAGGAGCAAAACCCUGCGCACUGGAGUGGCGUGCUGGCAGACCAGGUAUGGACACUGACCCAGACCGAGGAGCAGCUCUACUGCACUGUGUACCGAGGGGAAAGGGGCCAGGCUGGCAGGCCCACACCAGGAGAGCUAAAGGUCCUGCGCCAGUACUUCCAGCUGGAUGUCAGCCUGGCUCAAUUGUAUUGCCAUUGGAGUUCCAAGGACCCCCACUUCCAAAAAGUAGCUCAGAAAUUCCAAGGUGUUCGACUCCUACAACAGGAUCCCAUCGAGUGCCUUUUCUCCUUCAUCUGUUCCUCCAACAACAACAUUGCUCGCAUCACUGGCAUGGUGGAGCGGCUCUGCCAAGCCUUCGGACCUCGGCUCAUCCAGCUCGAUGAUGUCACCUACUAUGGCUUCCCCAGCCUGCAGGCCCUGGCUGGGCCAGAGGUGGAGGCUAAGCUCAGGAAGCUGGGCCUUGGGUACCGUGCCCGCUAUGUGAAUGCCAGUGCCCGAGCCAUCCUUGAAGAACAGGGGGGGUUGCCCUGGCUGCAGCAGCUGCGCAAGGCCUCCUACGAAGAGGCCCACAAGGCCCUCUGCACCCUGCCUGGAGUGGGCACCAAGGUGGCCGACUGCAUCUGCUUGAUGGCCCUAGACAAGCCCCAGGCCGUGCCCGUGGAUGUCCACGUGUGGCAGAUUGCCCAACGUGACUACAGUUGGCACCCCACAACAACCCAAGGCAAGGGUCCAAGCCCCCAGGCCAACAAGGAACUAGGAAACUUUUUCCGGAGCUUGUGGGGACCUUAUGCUGGCUGGGCCCAAGCAGAGAAUGUGGGGGAGGUGCCCUGACUACAGUCUCUGGUGUGAGAUCCCACUCCUCUGAUAGGACCUCCUUCCCAGGGGGGCCUGGCCAGCCACAUCUUCAGAAAAUGAGACUUGAUGUGAUGGCGCAUUAAAAGACAUUUGAAGUCAAACAGACCUGGUUUCGAACUCCACUUCCACCCCAUACCUGCUGUGGGAUCUUGGACUGCCACUCUCCGUCCCUACC